rnacentral:lncRNA from 1 species
AAAAAUUAUUUGACCCAAAAUGAGGUUAUUUCUCUUUGGGAGAAAAAGAUUGGGAAGACUCUUGAGAAAACUUAUGUUUCAGAGGAACAAGUUCUCAAGGAUAUUCAAGGUCAGUAAAAUAAACGCUUUAUAAAUAUUGUUAAGAAUUUUUACAAUGUUAAUCAAUCAAUAAAUCGUUAAAAUUAUUUGAUUUUAAUUAUAUCUAUGCUUACUACGCAGAAUCUUCAUUCCCUCAUAACUACUUGUUGGCAUUGUAUCAUUCACAACAAAUAAAAGGAGAUGCAGUUUAUGAGAUUGAUCCAACCAAAGAUAUUGAAGCUUCUGAAGCCUAUCCUGAUGUCACAUACACCACUGCUGAUGAAUAUUUGAAUCAAUUUGUCUAAGUUUGUCAUCCCGGAAAUGUUAAAUAAGACAAAGAUUAUUUUUUCUUAAUAGUUUCACAUGUUGUACCACAUCAAUUAUAUUGUUAGUUGUCCUUGUUGUCUUGUUCUCAAUAAACCUUCCAAUUGAUGUAAUAUUUUACAAAAAUAAUAAUAUUGUAUUGUUCUAUUGUUUGCACAUUUGUGUCACUAGUAUCACUCUAUUAUUUUGUUGUUGCCCGUGAAUGGGUGACUCAAUAAAUUAUUUAAUACCCACGUCAGGAUGGACCGAUCUACCGUAUGAAGCAAUAUUUGUUUGGUCUCGGUUAUAAAUUUAAAUUAUUUACACACAUGCAAAAGAAAAAAAGUAGAAAGAAUGAACCAAUAUUUUUUUAUUUUAUUUUUAUGGGGGUGUUUGUUUGGGAGAUAAAAAAUAUAUUCCUGGGUAUAAGGGCAUUAAAUAUGAUAUUCCUAUGUUUGGUAGAAGGGAACAAAAAUAAUAUACCCAGGAAUAAAUGAUUCCCAGGAAUCUUAUUUACCCGUUGACUCUCUAUUUUUAUUCCCGGGGGUGGGGGGCUGGAAUCUUCAAUUCCUGAGAAUGAAAUCUCCACAUUCAUGACGAAAACCCACCCAUACCCCUAUUUUACCCACGCUUCUUCCCUCCUAAUUUUUCCCACGCGUUUUCUAAAUUAAUAGAAACCCACAUAUAUAUAAACCCCUCUUUGCUCUCUCUUUUCACUCAUCUGGAUCCAGAUCCAUCCAUAACAGGUUUGUGUCUUAUGUUUUGUUUUGUUUUUUGCGUUUUUUUAACUGCUGGACAGAUUCUCGGCCUGCCAGGCUGCUGUACCAGCGGAGCUGGGCCGCGCAAAUGCGAGUUUCGGUGACUGACAUUCGAGCGGGCAUCCACCAUUCUGUUGCUGUUGCAUGUCAAAGGUGUUGGGCAGUCUGCCAACCUUCAAUUAAAUGGCGUGUAACAACUUGAAACAGGGUACUCUUGUUAUGUAUUAAAAAACAAGUAUAUACCCUGACCAAUACCUUUGUUGACUCGCAUAAUUUACUUUGCUUGAUUAAAAAUAACAUGAAAAAUAUUAUUUUUCAUCAAUUUAAUGUAAAAGGGUAUUUUAAUAAUUUUGACAUUUAUUCCUGGGAUUAUACAUUUUAAACCAAACAUAUUUUUAGUAUUCCCAGGAAUUUAGAAAGAAAGUUCCAAGGAAUUCAAAUUGGUAACCAAACACUUUUUUAAAAUAUUCCUAGGAAUAUAAUUCCAAGGAAUAUAUUCCUGGGAAAAUUAUUCCAGGGAAUAAUUUUUGCAUCUGUGAAACAAACGGCCCCUAUAUUAUUGAAAUAAGUGCCCUAAAGGCAUUUGUUAGCAUUCUCCUUAAAAUAAUUAUAUGAUGUGUAUUUUGAUUGUGCACUUAAAUGAUUUGAAUUUGUGGUUGUGACUAUAUAAAAAUUAUUCGACGGCAUGAUCAACAGACCGUGUGAACAAUUGAAAUAUAUUAAAUAAUCAUGUUCAGACAUCCCUUACUUGUAGAGGUGUCAAAUGGACUGGACAACCCAGUUCGGCUUAAGAGUUUUGACUACAUAAAUGAACCAGUCUGACCAAGCCCAUUUGUAAUUGGGCCGCAUAAAAUAUAAUUGAAUGGAUAUAGAAGUAUAAAUAUUUUUUACAUUACCAUUAAAUACUAAUUAAACUCUAGAUUUAUUUCUUCAAUUGAAUCAAAUUAAUACUACAUCCGUCCAUAAUUAUAGGAUCCUUUUGAAAAAUAACAGGAAUUAAGAAAAUUAAAAGUGAUAAUAAAUUUGUUUUUAAUUACAAUUGUUUUUACAAAUUUGUCUUUUAAGAGUGGGUUAGUCCGUUAAUGUAUGUUUACAAUGUAGUAUUUAAUGAUGAUUGAAGAAAAAGAUAUACAAUAAAUAGGGGUAUGGUGGUAAAGAAUUAAUUAAUAUAUUUGGAAAUAGCAAAGAGAUUUUUAUAAAAAGAGACAAAAAAAUUCUCAAAAGGGUCCUAUAAUUAGGGACAGAGACAGUAGUUUAUAAACUUUAGAAUUUUAAAACUUUGAACUAAAUUUAUGCAUUUUUAUUAAGUUGACUUAUUUCAAUAUAUUUUAUUAAUAAAUUUUUAAAGUAGUUGAUAAUGUUUUUAAAAAAUAUAGCGUUUUUUAACAAAAAUAAAAUAAAAGUAUAGAUAGUAGGUCGGUCCGAAGUCCGAUAGGUUAGCCUGACUCGGCCCCAUUUUCAUAUGGAUCAAAUGAGCUAAGGUAAAAAAAAAUACGAGAGUAUUUUUAGUUAGGUUUGUGGUUCGGCCCAAAAUGUGUCAUUUUUUAUGUCUCUACUUACUAGCCAUCUCACCAUUAACAACGAUUUGUCAACUAAACAAUGUCAUCUUCUUUUCUAUUAAAGUUAACCCGGAAGCCCUAAUUUUAACCUAAACUAUAUUGCAUAAAUUUACUGUUUUAACCCUAAUGCUUAAUUCCUUUGUUUAAUCCUAUUAACCCUAUUUCUUGGUUGAAACAAAUUGAACCUAAUCUCCUAUUUUCUUGAAUAAAACAAAUUGGCCCUAUUUCUUCAACAAAACAAAUCGCUUUAUUUCUUGCUUUAAAAAAGAAACAACAACUCAAGUUGGGAUACUCUACUUGACCUAGAAGAGAAAUAACGGAAAGAAGAACUUGCCUUUUUGAGAACUUAUUGUCGGAACUCGGAAGCAAUGGUGAUCUGCUAAGUUUAUGGCGAGUUCGAUUGAUUAUGAGCUGCUAAGUUCGAUUGAGUAAGAGUUCGAUUGAUUAUGAGUUGCGAAGUUCCAUUGAGUAACAGGCAACAAAUCCUUCUUCUCAUGGCGGUAGGGAUGAGAGAUUUUGCUUACAACAAAUUAAUGGCAUGAUCAUAGGAAAGAGAUUUUAGUUUCUAGGUUUAGUAAGAACAAUGGGAUGAGAAAUGAUGAGGUAGAGUUGCAUGUGAAGAUAUGAUGAGGGAGAUAAAGAUGUUGAUAGGUUUUGGAAUAGGAAAGUAAUUUUUAUGAGAGAGGUUGACUACAGCUAUAAAAUAAAUGAUAAUUAUAUUUAUUUGAUACUUCCUAAAUGUUGUUACUUGAGAGUUAAAACGAUCUCUUUCCUGUG